UUAGCUCUUUGAGGCAGGGUACCCUCCUCAGGAUUUCGACAUGCAAAAAAUCAAAUCUCUCAUGACCCGACAGGGUCUGAAAAGCCCUCAAGAAAGCCUCAGUGAUCUUGGUGCCAUAGAGAGUCUCCGGGUCCCUGGAAAGGAAGAAUUCAGGGAACUUCGAGAACAGCCAAGUGACCCUCAAGCUGAACAAGAGCUUAUUAAUAGUAUUGAACAAGUAUAUUUUUCUGCGGAUUCAUUUGAUAUUGUUAAAUAUGAGCUGGAGCUUCCACCUGUUCUCAAUUUGCAAGAAUUAGAGGCGUAUAGAGACAAAUUGAAACAACAGCAAGCUGCAGUAUCUAAAAAAGUGGCAGAUUUAAUCCUUGAAAAACAGCCUGCUUAUGUAAAGGAACUUGAAAGAGUUACCUCAUUGCAGACAGGUCUUCAAUUAGCUGCUGUUAUCUGUACAAAUGGGAGAAGGUAUUGCUUUUGAUGAUAUUUUGUUCUUUAAGCUGGACAAUAUUUCAAGAAUAACUAUGGAAUCUAUAAUUUAUAAUUGAUUUUUUAAAUUAUGGAUGUGGUUUCUAGAAUAUCAUUCCUUAAGUGAACAUAUAUUAUGAUCUAAAGACUACACUAAGAGGGUUUGUGGGAAAUAUCUCUAAGUGUACUUAUGGGUUUUAAAAAAUUACUAUUUUUAUAUUAUUUAGACUAGUGCUUCACAAACUGUUUGUCGUAAAGCACCUACUUUUUUCUUUCUAAAAUUUCCAAUCUGUUACAGGCU
rnacentral:sRNA from 1 species